rnacentral:rRNA from 1 species
AGAGUUUGAUCCUGGCUCAGGAUGAACGCUGGCGGUAUGCUUAAUACAUGCAAGUCGUACGAGGGCUUUUAGCUCUAGUGGCGGACGGGUGGGUAACACGUGAGAAUCUGCCCUUAGGAGGAGGAUAACAGCUGGAAACGGUUGCUAAUACUCCAUACGCCGAGAGGUGAAAGGAUUUAUCUGCCUAAGGAGGAGCUCGCGUCUGAUUAGCUAGUUGGUAAGGUAAAGGCUUACCAAGGCGACGAUCAGUAGCUGGUUUGAGAGGAUGAUCAGCCACACUGGGACUGAGACACGGCCCAGACUCCUACGGGAGGCAGCAGUAGGGAAUUUUCCGCAAUGGGCGAAAGCCUGACGGAGCAAUACCGCGUGAGGGAUGACGGCCUGUGGGUUGUAAACCUCUUUUCUCAAGGAAGAAGUUCUGACGGUACUUGAGGAAUAAGCAUCGGCUAACUCUGUGCCAGCAGCCGCGGUAAUACGGAGGAUGCAAGCGUUAUCCGGAAUCACUGGGCAUAAA